rnacentral:misc_RNA from 1 species
AACGCACGAGACCUGCGGACCUGCGGAAGGAUCAUUAAUUAAUUGAUUAGUAAAUCUAUUUUACUAUAUCUACCUUUACUGUGAAUUGUAUGAAUAUAUGGCGUUUUGAGGGAUGUCUAAUUGCUAUAAGGGUAGGCAAUUGGAAUGAUAACCUAGUCAUAGUCAAGCUUAGGCUUGGUACCCAAUUUAUUAUUUACCAAUGAAUUCAGAUUUAAAUAUUGUAACAUAGAUCUAAACAAU